GAAGGUGGCAAGCGUUAUUCGGAUUUACUGGGCGUACAGGGAGCGUAGGCGGUUCGGUAAGCCCUUUGUGAAAUCUUCAGGCUUAACCUGAAAAAGUCGGAGGGGACUGCCGGGCUAGAGGACGGGAGAGGAGCGCGGAAUUCCCGGUGUAGCGGUGAAAUGCGUAGAGAUCGGGAGGAAGGCCGGUGGCGAAGGCGGCGCUCUGGAACGUUUCUGACGCUGAGGCUCGAAAGCGUGGGGAGCAAACAGGAUUAGAUACCCUGGUAGUCCACGCCUUAAACUAUGAAUACUAAGUGUCGGCGGGUUACCGCCGGUGCCGCAGCUAACGCAUUAAGUAUUCCGCCUGGGAAGUACGGCCGCAAGGUUG
rnacentral:rRNA from 1 species